CGGACGGGUGAGUAAUGUCUGGGAAACUGCCCGAUGGAGGGGGAUAACUACUGGAAACGGUAGCUAAUACCGCAUAACGUCGCAAGACCAAAGAGGGGGACCUUAGGGCCUCUUGCCAUCGGAUGUGCCCAGAUGGGAUUAGCUAGUUGGUGAGGUAACGGCUCACCAAGGCCACGAUGCAUAGCCGACCUGAGAGGGUGAUCGGCCACACUGGGACUGAGACACGGCCCAG
rnacentral:rRNA from 1 species